rnacentral:lncRNA from 1 species
CUGGGUUUGUGUUUGCUCCUGGCUGUGGUCACUCAUAUUGGCUCAGAAUAAAUCCCUGCAAAACAUUCUACAGAGUUUAGUUUUUACAUUAACAUUUAUAACACGCCCCUUUCAGCCAUAGCUGAAUUUCUGUUAACAAGAGGACUGGUGGCUGAAGCCCCUAGGUAGCUGCAGGCUGGGGGCUGCAGAGGAGGCCCCCAUGUGAUUGGAGGGCUGGAACCUUCAGUCCUACCUGACCUCCAGGGAGAGGAGAGGGCUGGGGUUGAGUUAAGUACUGAUGGUCAGUAAGUUAAUCAUGCCCAUGUACAUAAUGGAAACUCCAUGAAAACCCUAAACGGAGGGGUUUGGAGAGCACAUCCACGUGUCAGGAGGGCGGUGCACCUGACUCCCUGGGGACAGAAGCCCCUGCCAUAGGGACCUGCAGACCUCACCCUAUGUACUUCUUCAUCUGACUGUCCAGUUGCAGCCUUCUAAUGAACUGGUCAAUGGAGAACAGCACAUGAAGACGGAGGCAGGGAUGGCAGAGACGUGUCCACCAGCCAGGAGCCAGACACUGCCAGCGGAUCACACGCAGCUGGGAGGGGCCCGGACCGGAUCUUUCCUCCCAACUCCCAGAAGGAACCACCCCUACUGAUACCUGGAUCUCAGACAUCUGGCCUUCAGAACUGGGAGAUAAUCAUUUCUGUUGAAGCCACCAAGGCUGUGGCACUUUGUAAACGCCUGCCCCAGGAAGCAAAUACAUAGACCUACAAAAAAAAAAAAAAAAAAAAAAAUGCUACCACAAAGCCAUCCCUUGCUGUCCUGCCUUGUUCCUUUUUCCUUUACAGCACUUCUCAUCACCUGAAAUGAGAUUAUUGAUUUGUUGAUUGCUUCCCCCAUUGCCAGGUAACUCCUACGAGGGUGGGGCUGCACAUGGCUCGCUGCUGCGUCUGCAGCGUCUAGCACAGCGCCUAUCACAUGGUGGGUAUUACAUGACUGCAAU